rnacentral:rRNA from 1 species
UCUGCCCAGUGCUCAGUUAACGGCCGCAGUAUCUUAACUGUGCUAAGGUAGCAUAAUCAUUAGUUUUUUAAUUGAAAACCAGAAUAAAAGAUCUGACGAAAACUCAACUUUCUCAAAAAUAGUUUAACUUGCCUUUAGAGUUAAAAGGCUCUAAUUUUUUAGAAGGACGACAAGACCCUGAAAACUUAAAUUUUUAAAGAAACCUUUUUAGAUUAUAAUAAUCCAUAAACGAUUUUAGCUGGGGCGGCUAUAUUUAAUUUAAACAAACUCAACUAUAACGUAAUGAACGAAGUUAUUAAACUCUCAUAAGCAAUAAAGCCAAGUUACUUCAGGGAUAACAGCACAAUAUCUUUUAAGAGUCCCUAUCGUCAAAGAUGCGUGUGACCUCGAUGUUGAAUUGAAUCUUCUUUUUGGAGCAGCCUCUAAUAAAGAAAGUCUGUUCGCCUUUUAAAUUUUCA